GCUGGCGGUAGGCUUAACACAUGCAAGUCGAGCGAGAAAGUAUCUUCGGAUACGAGUAUAGCGGCGGACGGGUGAGUAACGCGUAGGAAUCUACCUAGUAGAAGGGGAUAGCCCGGGGAAACUCGGAUUAAUACCGUAUACCUCCUUUGGGAGAAAGAGGGCCUCUCUUGAUGCUCUCGCUAUUAGAUGAGCCUGCGUAAGAUUAGCUUGUUGGUAAGGUAAUGGCUUACCAAGGCUACGAUCUUUAGCUGGUCUGAGAGGACGAUCAGCCACAUUGGGACUGAGACACGGCCCAGACUCCUACGGGAGGCAGCAGUGGGGAAUAUUGGACAAUGGGCGCAAGCCUGAUCCAGCCAUACCGCGUGUGUGAAGAAGGCCUUCGGGUUGUAAAGCACUUUAAGCAGGGAGAAAAAGUUAUAAGUUAAUACCUUAUAGCCGUGAUGUUACCUGCAGAAUAAGCACCGGCUAAUUCCGUGCCAGCAGCCGCGGUAAUACGGAAGGUGCAAGCGUUAAUCGGAAUUACUGGGCGUAAAGCGCGCGUAGGUGGUUUGUUAAGUUGGAUGUGAAAGCCCUGGGCUCAACCUAGGAACUGCAUCCAAAACUAACUCACUAGAGUACGAUAGAGGGAGGUAGAAUUCAUAGUGUAGCGGUGGAAUGCGUAGAUAUUAUGAAGAAUACCAGUGGCGAAGGCGGCCUCCUGGAUCUGUACUGACACUAAGGUGCGAAAGCGUGGGUAGCGAACAGGAUUAGAUACCCUGGUAGUCCACGCCGUAAACGAUGACAACUAGCUGUUGGGAGACAAUGUCUUUCAGUGGCGCAGCUAACGUUUUAAGUUGUCCGCCUGGGGAGUACGGCC
rnacentral:rRNA from 1 species